rnacentral:rRNA from 1 species
CCUACGGGAGGCUGCAGUAGGGAAUCUUCCACAAUGGGCGAACGCCUGAUGCAGCAACGCCGCGUGGGUGAAGAAGGUCUUCGGAUCGUAAAACCCUGUUGUUAGAGAAGAAAGUGCGUGAGAGUAACUGUUCACGUUUCGACGGUAUCUAACCAGAAAGCCACGGCUAACUACGUGCCAGCAGCCGCGGUAAUACGUAGGUGGCAAGCGUUAUCCGGAUUUAUUGGGCGUAAAGGGAACGCAGGCGGUCUUUUAAGUCUGAUGUGAAAGCCUUCGGCUUAACCGGAGUAGUGCAUUGGAAACUGGGAGACUUGAGUGCAGAAGAGGAGAGUGGAACUCCAUGUGUAGCGGUGAAAUGCGUAGAUAUAUGGAAGAACACCAGGGGCGAAAGCGGCUCUCUGGUCUGUAACUGACGCUGAGGUUCGAAAGCGUGGGUAGCAAACAGGAUUAGAUACCCCUGUAGUC